rnacentral:rRNA from 1 species
UACGUAGGUGGCAAGCGUUACUCGGAAUCACUAGGCGUAAAGCGCAGGGAGGCGGUUUGGUAAGUCUUUUGUGAAAGCUCCCGGCUCAACUGGGAGAGGUCAAAGGAAACUACUAGGCUAGAGUGUGGUAGGGGAUACUGGAAUUCCUGGUGUAGCGGUGAAAUGCGUAGAUAUCAGGAGGAAUACCUAUGGCGAAAGCAGGUAUCUGGGCCAUCACUGACGCUGAGCUGCGAAAGCUAGGGGAGCAAACAGG